rnacentral:rRNA from 1 species
UACGGAGGAUCCAAGCGUUAUCCGGAUUUAUUGGGUUUAAAGGGUGCGUAGGCGGCCUAUUAAGUCAGGGGUGAAAGACGGUAGCUUAACUAUCGCAGUGCCUUUGAUACUGAUAGGCUUGAAUACACUCGAGGUAGGCGGAAUGUGACAAGUAGCGGUGAAAUGCAUAGAUAUGUCACAGAACACCAAUUGUGAAGGCAGCUUACUAAAGUGAGAUUGACGCUGAGGCACGAAAGCGUGGGGAUCAAACAGGAUUAGAUACCCUGGUAGUCCACGCCCUAAACGAUGAAUACUCGAUGUUGGCGAUAUACGGUCAGCGUCUAAGCGAAAGCGUUAAGUAUUCCACCUGGGGAGUACGCCCGCAAGGGUGAACUCAAAGGAAU